rnacentral:rRNA from 1 species
UAGGGANNCUUCGGCAAUGGGGGCAACCCUGACCGAGCAACGCCGCGUGAGUGAAGAAGGUUUUCGGAUCGUAAAGCUCUGUUGUAAGUCAAGAACGAGUGUGAGAGUGGAAAGUUCACACUGUGACGGUAGCUUACCAGAAAGGGACGGCUAACUACGUGCCAGCAGCCGCGGUAAUACGUAGGUCCCGAGCGUUGUCCGGAUUUAUUGGGCGUAAAGCGAGCGCAGGCGGUUUGAUAAGUCUGAAGUUAAAGGCUGUGGCUCAACCAUAGUUCGCUUUGGAAACUGUCAAACUUGAGUGCAGAAGGGGAGAGUGGAAUUCCAUGUGUAGCGGUGAAAUGCGUAGAUAUAUGGAGGAACACCGGUGGCGAAAGCGGCUCUCUGGUCUGUAACUGACGCUGAGGCUCGAAAGCGUGGGGAGCGAACAGGAUUAGAUACCCUGGUAGUCCACGCCGUNNNGAUGAGUGCUAGGUGUUGNAUCCUUUCCGGGAUUCANUGCCNCAGCUAANGCNNUAANCACUCCGCCUGGGGAGUACNANCNCNAGGUU